GUGUCAGCCGCCGCGGUAAUACCGGCGGCCCGAGUGGCGGCCACUUUUAUUGGGCCUAAAGCGUCCGUAGCCGGGCUGGUAAGUCCUCCGGGAAAUCUGGUCGCUUAACGAUCAGACUGCCGGAGGAUACUGCCAGCCUUGGGACCGGGAGAGGCCGGGGGUAUUCCCGGGGUAGGGGUGAAAUCCUGUAAUCCCGGGAGGACCACCUGUGGCGAAGGCGCCCGGCUGGAACGGGUCCGACGGGGAGGGACGAAGGCCAGGGGAGCGAACCGGAUUAGAUACCCGGGUAGUCCUGGCCGUAAACGAUGGAUGCUAGAUGUGGGCGGGGAGACCCGUCCGUGUCGCAAGCUAACGCGUUAAGCAUCCCGCCUGGGGAGUACGGCCGCAAGGUUGAAACUUAAAUGAAUUGACGGGG
rnacentral:rRNA from 1 species